rnacentral:rRNA from 1 species
GAUGUACGCUAGCGGCAGGCUUAACACAUGCAAGUCGAGGGGUAGAGGUUGCUUGCAACCUUGAGACCGGCGCACGGGUGCGUAGCGCGUAUGCAACCUACCUUUUACAGAGGGAUAGCCCAGAGAAAUUUGGAUUAAUACCUCAUAGUAUAUAACCUUCGCAUGUUGGUUAUAUUAAAGUUCCAACGGUAAAAGAUGGGCAUGCGUCCUAUUAGCUAGAUGGUAAGGUAACGGCUUACCAUGGCAACGAUAGGUAGGGGUCCUGAGAGGGAGAUACCCCACACUGGUACUGAGACACGGACCAGACUCCUACGGGAGGCAGCAGUGAGGAAUAUUGGACAAUGGGCGCAAGCCUGAUCCAGCCAUGCCGCGUGCAGGAAGAAGCAUCUAUGGUGUGUAAACUGCUUUUGUACAGGAAGAAACACCCCGACGUGUCGGGGCUUGACGGUACUGUAAGAAUAAGGAUCGGCCAACUCCGUGCCAGCCGCCGCCGUAA